UUGUUUCACUUGUAAUCGCUAAAUAAGUUUGUAAAUAUUCAACAAUUGAACCUACGCCACUGUGAGCCUUAUAGAGAGGGGAUUCGAACUGCUAUAAAAUUAUAUUAUUCAUUUAUCGUGGAAACCGCGUAAAGAUAAGUCGCUUUCUUCUUUAUGUCUCAUCGAAACUUACGUAAUCAUUGUUGCGGGCUUGAAGUGCAAUGAGCGGCAGAAGAAGUAGUGUGAGUGAUUACCCGGAACAUUUAAAUCCCUUUUACGAAGGUAGUGACAAGUGGCUCUUUUGGGGUAAAAUAAAAAGAUCAGGAUCAUUUUCUAAUUCCUUAAAGGACUUGAGAAACACAAUAACUCUUCGGUCAUUUAGAGGACAUAAAAAACCAAAGUAU